rnacentral:rRNA from 1 species
GUUAAGCGACUAAGCGUACACGGUGGAUGCCCUGGCAGUCAGAGGCGAUGAAGGACGUGCUAAUCUGCGAUAAGCGUCGGUGAGGUGAUAUGAACCGUUAUAACCGGCGAUUUCCGAAUGGGGAAACCCAGUGUGUUUCGACACACUAUCAUUAACUGAAUCCAUAGGUUAAUGAGGCGAACCGGGGGAACUGAAACAUCUAAGUACCCCGAGGAAAAGAAAUCAACCGAGAUUCCCCCAGUAGCGGCGAGCGAACGGGGAGGAGCCCAGAGCCUGAAUCAGUGUGUGUGUUAGUGGAAGCGUCUGGAAAGGCGCGCGAUACAGGGUGACAGCCCCGUACACAAAAAUGCACAUACUGUGAGCUCGAUGAGUAGGGCGGGACACGUGGUAUCCUGUCUGAAUAUGGGGGGACCAUCCUCCAAGGCUAAAUACUCCUGACUGACCGAUAGUGAACCAGUACCGUGAGGGAAAGGCGAAAAGAACCCCGGCGAGGGGAGUGAAAAAGAACCUGAAACCGUGUACGUACAAGCAGUGGGAGCCUCUUAAUGGGGUGACUGCGUACCUUUUGUAUAAUGGGUCAGCGACUUAUAUUCUGUAGCAAGGUUAACCGAAUAGGGGAGCCGAAGGGAAACCGAGUCUUAACUGGGCGUUAAGUUGCAGGGUAUAGACCCGAAACCCGGUGAUCUAGCCAUGGGCAGGUUGAAGGUUGGGUAACACUAACUGGAGGACCGAACCGACUAAUGUUGAAAAAUUAGCGGAUGACUUGUGGCUGGGGGUGAAAGGCCAAUCAAACCGGGAGAUAGCUGGUUCUCCCCGAAAGCUAUUUAGGUAGCGCCUCGUGAAUUCAUCUCCGGGGGUAGAGCACUGUUUCGGCAAGGGGGUCAUCCCGACUUACCAACCCGAUGCAAACUGCGAAUACCGGAGAAUGUUAUCACGGGAGACACACGGCGGGUGCUAACGUCCGUCGUGAAGAGGGAAACAACCCAGACCGCCAGCUAAGGUCCCAAAGUCAUGGUUAAGUGGGAAACGAUGUGGGAAGGCCCAGACAGCCAGGAUGUUGGCUUAGAAGCAGCCAUCAUUUAAAGAAAGCGUAAUAGCUCACUGGUCGAGUCGGCCUGCGCGGAAGAUGUAACGGGGCUAAACCAUG